GGAUGUGAGGGCGAUCUGGCUGCAACAUCUGUCACCCCAUUGAUCCCCAGGGUUGAUUCGGCUGAUCUGGCUGAUUAGGGGGGUGUCCCCUUCCUCCCUCACCGCUCCAUGUGCGUCCCUCCUGAAGCUGCAUGCUUGGUGGAAGAGGACGACCAUCCCAGAUAGAAGGAGUGUACCAUUCUUCGGUCAAGGGUAUAUGAUAGCUGCGCUCCCCUGCUAGAACCUCCAAACAAGUUCAAGGUCCAGAUGCUUUUUGGACUCCAUCUCCCAUCAGCCCCAGCAAUUGGGGCCCAUGAU